rnacentral:rRNA from 1 species
ACCGGUCCGUAACGGGACCUUUCCUUCGGGACAGAGGAGACAGGUGGUGCAUGGUUGUCGUCAGCUCGUGUCGUGAGAUGUUGGGUUAAGUCCCGCAACGAGCGCAACCCUUACCUUCAGUAGCCAGCGAGUGAAGUCGGGCACUCUGGAGGGACUGCCAGGGACAACCUGGAGGAAGGUGGGGAUGACGUCAAAUCAUCAUGCCCCUUAUGAUCUGGGCUACACACGUGCUACAAUGGCGUAAACAAAGGGAAGCGAGACAGUGAUGGUAAGCAAAUCCCAAAAAUAACGUCUCAGUUCGGAUUGUAGUCUGCAACUCGACUACAUGAAGCUGGAAUCGCUAGUAAUCGCGGAUCAGAAUGCCGCGGUGAAUACGUUCCCGGGUCUUGUACACACCGCCCGUCACACCAUGGGAGUUGACAACGCCCGAAGUCAGUGACCUAACCGAAAGGGAGGAGCUGCCGAAGGCGGGGUUGAUAACUGGGGUGAAGUCGUAACAAGGUAGCCGUAUCGGAAGGUGC